GAUGAACGCUAGCUACAGGCUUAACACAUGCAAGUCGAGGGGCAUCAGGAAGAAAGCUUGCUUUCUUUGCUGGCGACCGGCGCACGGGUGAGUAACACGUAUCCAACCUGCCCUUUACUCGGGGAUAGCCUUUCGAAAGAAAGAUUAAUACCCGAUGGCAUAAUGAUUCCGCAUGGUUUCAUUAUUAAAGGAUUCCGGUAAAGGAUGGGGAUGCGUUCCAUUAGGUUGUUGGUGAGGUAACGGCUCACCAAGCCUUCGAUGGAUAGGGGUUCUGAGAGGAAGGUCCCCCACAUUGGAACUGAGACACGGUCCAAACUCCUACGGGAGGCAGCAGUGAGGAAUAUUGGUCAAUGGGCGCUAGCCUGAACCAGCCAAGUAGCGUGAAGGAUGAAGGCUCUAUGGGUCGUAAACUUCUUUUAUAUAAGAAUAAAGUGCAGUAUGUAUACUGUUUUGUAUGUAUUAUAUGAAUAAGGAUCGGCUAACUCCGUGCCAGCAGCCGCGGUAAUACGGAGGAUCCGAGCGUUAUCCGGAUUUAUUGGGUUUAAAGGGAGCGUAGGUGGACUGGUAAGUCAGUUGUGAAAGUUUGCGGCUCAACCGUAAAAUUGCAGUUGAUACUGUCAGUCUUGAGUACAGUAGAGGUGGGCGGAAUUCGUGGUGUAGCGGUGAAAUGCUUAGAUAUCACGAAGAACUCCGAUUGCGAAGGCAGCUCACUGGACUGCAACUGACACUGAUGCUCGAAAGUGUGGGUAUCAAACAGGAUUAGAUACCCUGGUAGUCCACACAGUAAACGAUGAAUACUCGCUGUUUGCGAUAUACAGUAAGCGGCCAAGCGAAAGCAUUAAGUAUUCCACCUGGGGAGUACGCCGGCAACGGUGAAACUCAAAGGAAUUGACGGGGGCCCGCACAAGCGGAGGAACAUGUGGUUUAAUUCGAUGAUACGCGAGGAACCUUACCCGGGCUUAAAUUGCAGUGGAAUGAUGUGGAAACAUGUCAGUGAGCAAUCACCGCUGUGAAGGUGCUGCAUGGUUGUCGUCAGCUCGUGCCGUGAGGUGUCGGCUUAAGUGCCAUAGCGAGCGCAACCCUUAUCUUUAGUUACUAACAGGUUAUGCUGAGGACUCUAGAGAGACUGCCGUCGUAAGAUGUGAGGAAGGUGGGGAUGACGUCAAAUCAGCACGGCCCUUACGUCCGGGGCUACACACGUGUUACAAUGGGGGGUACAGAAGGCAGCUAGCGGGUGACCGUAUGCUAAUCCCAAAAGCCUCUCUCAGUUCGGAUCGAAGUCUGCAACCCGACUUCGUGAAGCUGGAUUCGCUAGUAAUCGCGCAUCAGCCACGGCGCGGUGAAUACGUUCCCGGGCCUUGUACACACCGCCCGUCAAGCCAUGGGAGCCGGGGGUACCUGAAGUACGUAACCGCAAGGAUCGUCCUAGGGUAAAACUGG
rnacentral:rRNA from 1 species